rnacentral:rRNA from 1 species
UACGUAGGGGGGCAAGCGUUGUCCGGAAUUAUUGGGCGUAAAGCGCGCGCAGGCGGCCGAUUAAGUCUGGUGUUUAACCCCCGGGGCUCAACCCCGGGUCGCACUGGAAACUGGUUGGCUUGAGUACAGAAGAGGAAAGUGGAAUUCCACGUGUAGCGGUGAAAUGCGUAGAGAUGUGGAGGAACACCAGUGGCGAAGGCGACUUUCUGGGCUGUAACUGACGCUGAGGCGCGAAAGCGUGGGGAGCAAACAGG